rnacentral:tRNA from 1 species
GCCGCUGUGGCGGAACUGGUAUACGCGCAUGACUCAAAAUCCUGUGAUAGUAAUAUCAUGCCGGUUCGAUCCCGGCCAGCGGCACCA